CGCGCCGCUCCCCGCUCUGCCCCUGCCCCUGCCCUGGCCGCGGCUCCUCGCUGCGGGCGGCGGCCCCGUCCCCACCCCUGCUUCUGCCUCCGAGUUUCUCUUUCUUUUCCCCUUCCGAGCUGCUGCCUGGGAGUGGAGUCUGCGCCCGGGCCUGCGCCAGGAGGAAGACAGCCGGCGGCUCGUGAAGAGGGACCAUUUGAGGGAGGAUUUUUUCUUGGAGGACGACUUUCAGGGACUCGGAGAGGAGCCUGAGCGUGAAUCCCCGAGGAAGGUCGUCUUCCCCCCGCGCAGUGAGUGGAGCUGCCAGACCCGGGACACUUGCUGGAUCUUAAAUUCUCCUGUUUUUUCUUACGUGUUUUAAGAGGCUUGAUGUCACCAGAUCUGAAACGCCCGAUGCUGAAAGUGGUCCUGGGUCAAGAGAUUACUCGCCGAAUUUGAAUGAUUUUUAAAACCAGUUUUCUUGAGCGAAUACGGGAGAAUUAAAACAAAAAUGAUGCUGAGGUGAAGGGUCCUUCCUUGGGAGCUGAAAGGUUUGCUGGUAGAUUUCCUGGAAGCCGGCACUGGGGCUGUGAAGGAAAGGUUGCAGAAUGGGACUGCCCUAAUCUGGAAGCUGCUCUGUUUUUCUCUUCAGUUCCUACCCAGCCUUCCUCUGGGAAACUCCAUAUGAUCAGACUGGCAUCUAGGAUGUGUAAAGACUGCAGGACUGAGCCAUGAAGACACCGAGCAGUUGGGCAUAUGGUGUUGUGCUCCUGUCAGCUCUGGAUGGACCUCUUUUCCGUGAAAUAAACUUGCAAGAAGGAUGUAUAAAAUUGUAUCUAUAAAUCUACUAUUCAGAAGCAGAGAAUACUUUUUGGCCUCUUGGAUUUUAGGGAGCAAAUAAUUGCACCAUAUAAUUGAUUCAUUGGGGAAUAUUCAGCAUGAGAAGUGAAUAACCUUAAGAUCAAGUUAAGUCUAAAGUGAAGCAGAUAAAGAAAAAAAAUGAAAUAAUUUGCAGCUUGUAAAAUAAAAUAUUUGUAUACUUAUUUGUUUUGCAUGUUUGCAACCUGAGGGUGACCAUUUAUUUUAUCUGAUGUGGGAAAUGUGCAUAAAAUCCUAUCCCAUUGCAAAUUUCCCUAUACUUGUUCUUUGACAUGAUUCAGGAGUAGAAACUCUGAUGUCAUGGAACAAUAAUAUUAGUUUUCUUUCCCUCUAAAGCAGUGAAUCGCAACCAGGAUGCCUUGAGUUCCUUUCAGGGAUGCUGCAGAGAGCCACACAAAAUUAGCACUGUUAGGAGUGAAAACAUGAUUCACAAGAUAAACCCAGACGCAUCAAAUAAUGAUCCAUAAUGUUAAAAAUAUUUUGAACUGUUAGCUUUCUAUGCACCAGAAGAAUUUCUUUUGUUAUUUU